UAUUACGAAAACUUUAAUGCACGAUAAAACCUUAGACCUACGUCGUGCUUUAAUGAUAGACAAAGAACAUUUUAUAAAAGAUAAAACACGUACUUGGCAACAAUCUUUGUGUUAAAGCAAACGUAAACAUUCAUAACGUUAGUACUUAGUCGUCCAACGAGGAUUUCAAGUUAAUCAGCUCAUUUCUGCGUGCACGGACGUGUCGUUAAACACAAUACACAUAUUUUAGUUUUUGUGCUAAUACUUACGACGUAUAUUUAAAUUGACUUUUGAAAUAAUAAUUAUUCCAUUCUUACCAGUGAGAGUCGAUCAUUAUGAAUUAAUUGUAAAAGUGCGUUUUCCCCGGAGCAUCAGGACAUGGCGUGUAGCGCUCACUACUGUUCCGGACAUGGAUCGGUGUCUAGACGAGGCGUCACGACGCUGCAAGGGAAACGGCGGUGUCGUAGUUUAAUGCUUACAAUAUUGUUGGCUAUAGCCUAUACCUCCUAAUAUAACGUGUUAUUUGUUAUAGUUUCGCUUCAAGUACUUAAUUUUUUUUUAGAAUGUCAAAAAUCAAUGCAACAUCCACAACAAAGUUAAGAGGUAACAGGACAUUGAAAAAUUGUUUCUUCCAAAUUCGGCCAAAUUAUGAUUUUGGCUUGCAGGCAUCUGGCUCUUCUCAAAAUGCAGUUCCGUAAAUAAACUCUCAACCAAAACGUCAAAAAUAUGGUGGUAGAGCAAUGGCCAUUCAAGAGCUAGCUGAGUCUGUCUGCAAAUGCCAUGAACAAAAUAAAUUUGACAAACGUGGGACCUAUUCUAUUGUGCAUGAACUCGUACAAAGACAUCGGCAACCCGAUGACCCUCACCAGUAUGAGAGGCGCCACGCUGGACUUUAAGUUGCACAAGGUCAUUCUGGACGCGGUCAGACAGCAGACUGAAUCAAGAUAUCCGCAAGCCAUCAUACUUUCUGGUUAGCAUAUUAUGGUUUAUUUAUGCCUGACGCACAGGAAAAAAAUACAAAGUUACUACAACCAUUUAAAUAGUUAGCCGAACAAUAUUCCAUUGUAGCUAUAGGGACAAUCUAAUCAUUAAGUUACAAAUACUAAAUCAAUAUUGUUAACACGAUUUUGUUGUAACAACCAUAAAUAUUUUGUUAAUAUAACACAACAAUCAUCGGUUAAAAUCACAAUAUACUUAUUGUAAUUCUACCAUAGUUAUUU